rnacentral:rRNA from 1 species
GUGAAAUGCGUAGAGAUCCGGAAGAACACCAAAGGCGAAGGCAGUGUCCUGGUUGGUACCUGACGCUCAGAGGCGACAGCUAGGGGAGCGAACGGGAUUAGAUACCCYGGUAGUCCUAGCCGUAAACGAUGACCACGAGAUGUCCGGGGGAUCGACCCCCUGGGUGUCGAAGCAAACGCAGUCAGUGGUCCGCCUGGGGAGUACGGUCGCAAGAUUAAAACUCAAAGGAAUUGACGGGGACCCGCACAAGCAGCGGAGCGUGUGGUUUAAUUCGAUGCAACGCGAAGCACCUUACCAGGGUUUGACAUGUCUUCGCACCUCUAGGAGACUAGAGUGCCCGCAAGGGACGGAGACACAGGUGCUGCAUGGCUGUCGUCAGCUCGUGCCGUGAGGUGUUGGGUUAAGUCCCGCAACGAGCGCAACCCUCAUUGSUAGUUGGAUAUAUCUAGCGAGACUGCCACGAUCAACGUGGAGGAAGGUGGGGAUGACGUCAAGUCAGCACGGCCCUUACAUCCUGGGCGACACACACGCUACAAUGGUCGAGACAACGAGUUGCCAACCCGCGAGGGGGAGCUAAUCUCAACAAACUCGAUCUCAGUUCAGAUUGCAGGCUGCAACCCGCCUGCAUGAAGUCGGAGUUGCUAGUAACCGUGAGUCAGCACAUCACGGUGAAUACGUUCCCGGGUCUUGUACACACCGCCCGUCACACCACGAAAGUCGGCAACCCCUGAAGCCGCUGGGCUAACUCGUAAGAGAGGCAAGCGUCGAGGGUGGGGUCGGUGAUUGGGGUGAAGUCGUAACAAGGUAACCGU